GCCAGAGUGUUUGCCAGUUUGGGGAACUCUAGCCAAGCCUUGUUUAUGCUGAGUCUAAUGAAGCCUUCCUGCAAACUGGACCUUUUCGGGCCGCCUUCUCCCAAAUGGGAUCAGCUGAGUCUUACACUGAGCGACGGAUUCCAAACAGGAGGUUUGGAUCCAGCCACCUUUGAGCACGCUGAGAUCACUCUCUGAGUAAGGAAGUCAUCUUCACCACGACCCGUUCAAGUACCACAGGAAAACUGAGUUGCAACCAGCGGCUGCAUCAUUCCACUCCGUCUGAGUUCUGGGUAAACCCUGUUCCGUCUUUCAGUUUUCCGGCCGAACAGAGUUCGGAGGAACUCUGCACCGAACUCUAAAUACCUUUCAAUAAAAGCCGUUCAAACUUU